rnacentral:tmRNA from 1 species
GGCAGGGAGGUUAAGAUCUCAGGCUAGCGGCAACCGUUUCUUGUCCGUUCUGAGCGGCGGUCGCGAACGUCUUGGGCUAGGCGGAAACGCUGAAGGCCUGGGGCAUGAACGUGAAUAAGCAUGUAGUCUCUUGACCAGUAACAUUUUCGGACGCGGGUUCGACUCCCGCCGCCUCCACCA